CCUACGGGAGGCAGCAGUCGAGAAUCAUUCACAAUGGGGGAAACCCUGAUGCUGCGACGCCGCGUGGGGGAAUGAAGGUCUUCGGAUUGUAAACCUCUGUCAUGUGGGAGCAAAUUAAAAAGAUAGUACCACAAGAGGAAGAGACGGCUAACUCUGUGCCAGCAGCCGCGGUACUACAGCGGUCUCAAGCGUUGUUCGGAGGCACUGGGCGUAAAUCGUGCGUAGUCUGUUUCGUAAGUCGGGUGUGAAAGGCGCGGGCUCAACCCGCGGACGGCACAUGAUACUGCGAGACUAGAGUAAUGUAGGGGGAACCGGAAUUCGCGGUGUAGCAGUGAAAUGCGUAGAUAUCGAGAGGAACACUGGUGGCGAAGGCGGGUUACUGGACAUUAACUGACGCUGAGGCACGAAGGCCAGGGGAGCGAAAGGGAUUAGAUACCCCUGUAGUC
rnacentral:rRNA from 1 species